AUACUGAUGAAGAGUCCCAAACUAGGACGAAACGGCUGUCCAGUAC
rnacentral:hammerhead_ribozyme from 1 species